GAAGAACGAAGUAAAGAGAACUUGGAGAAGGAGAAAAAUUCUAUAUUUCAUACAUCAAAAGUGGUGGCUUGGCUGCACAAGUACCGUCUUUUUCUCCUAUUCAAAGUAUAAUCAUUUUAUUUUUUACAUAAAACUAGGACAAAGUCUAAAAGUGGAAUUUACAAUACAACAGUCAAAUCAGCAUAGUAUCUGCAGGCCACUUCUCCUGUAGCUUGAACUUGACAGACUAAGAGUUGGAGUUUUAGAGAAAAGCUUCAACUCUUUCAUUCUCCUCAAUCUUUUAUACAACACUGCAACCUGAUACUUCAAUUCCUCAAAACCACCUUUUGGAAGAGGCUUUAUCAGCAAAUCAGCCAAUUGAACUUCUGAAGGACAAUAUAGCAAAUGAACUUGUCUUCUUUCUCAGCUUGUCUAAUGGCAUGAAACUUCACUUUAUUAUGUUUGUUCUCCCAUAGUUAACUAAUUUUUUAGCUACACCAAUUACAGAUUGAUUGCCAACCAUAAUUUUUGUAGGACUGACUUGAACCUGAUCAGAUCAUUUGAGAUUUUCUGAAGCCCAAAUGGCUUGAUUUAUGAUGCGGACAUCAUCCCCAUUUUAUCUUUUAUUUAUUUUGGACUUAUAUCUUUUAGUUACUUAUUUUGGGCUUAUGUCUCAUUGGGCUUGUAUAUGGGUUUGGCCCAAGCCCAAGUUAUUAUUUUGUUAUUUAUGUUAUUGUAAUUGGGAUUGAAAGGUAGAUGAUGAAUUGUUGCCUUCCACUCCUCUGUCUUCUCUCUUCCCCUUCUUUCUUCUCUCACGUUUUUUUCCCUUCUCUUUCUCCUUUCUUCCUCUUGUUCUUGCUUUGAUUUUGAUAUUCACUUAUUUUCAUUGAUUCUACACCAUGUUUUGGUAUCAGAGCCUAACCUGGCUUUUCAAUCUCUUACACUGAAAAUCGGAGUCAAAAUUGCCAUGGAAGUGAUACAUACCCGCACUGUUCAACACCAUAAAUCCCUAACCGGAAGUUGAGCCAUCCGUCUCCUCCAACCCAUACACAGACAUCUGACCAAACGCAUCGUAAUACCACCCGACUGCAUUGUGCAACUGCCAAUGCCCACUCCCAUACAAUCCUCCUUGACGGUUAGUUUCAUGAGCCUUCAACCCACUCUCUAAUUUUAAAUCCACAAACCCACCACACCAAAACCGCCUGCACAAGACAUACCCCCUACGUCUUCAAUCAAAUUCACAAACCGACUCCACUUACCCCACGACUUCUUCCAGCAACUCACUACCUGAAACUUCACAACCGCACGCAAUCAAUCCACCACAUCCACCAAUCAACUGCAACUCCUAUAAUCCACUACCCACCAUCCAUACAGACGCUAACCUCCUGCGCACCAGAUUACAAUUAUAGUAGAAAUUCAGUCACAACCCCGUUCAAGCUACAAAAUUAAACAAACCACAUACCUUCGACCACUGAAAACUCACGCCGUAGCCACGCCGUCGCUGGACGAUACCCACCCCACCACUGCAAGUUCCGACACAUCCUUCGACUACAAGUAACUCCCGACGCCCUUAAACGCCCACUUCGCAAUCGUUGCCUCCAAUUGUAACCACCGCAGCAACACCAAUCGCUGGUCACCUUCACAAUGACGCAGCCUAUAAUCACUGCAGCCGCCACCUAUCGCUGUGCAUCCCUACAGCGACGUCGUCCGUAGUCACCAUCAUCAAUUCGAGCCUCCACUCAGCCCCAAAUCUUCUGCUGAUUGCCAAAGGCAGAAUUGUCGAGAGGUUUAGACAAUGGAAUUGGGUAUUUAAUUGGGCUUUGCUUAACAUGUCAAGAUAAAGACUGUGGAAGUGGUAUUUAAUUCAAUUGGGCUAUGCUUAUUUUCAUUUGGGCCUCAAUUUGUGUAUUUUGAAGAGUAGGCCUCAAUUGAUAUGUACACAGUAGAUUAAUUAGUAGUUUUGGGUAUCUUAUUAAUGUUUGGGCCUUGAAUUGUAACAGUUUUGCUUAUCUGAUUUUUAAGUGAAAAAAAAGAGAGUUAUUUUUUUUCUAACAUCGUUUUUCAGGUGCCUCUUUCAUUCCAGUUGAUUGGACGCAGCUUCUUCGAACGAACGAAAAGAAAGUCAUUGUUUAAAUUUAUCCUCAGUUAUAUUGUUGUUUAUCUUGAAUUGCAUCGAUUAACUUUUGUGCUGUAGUCUUUACAUAAAACUCACAUGACAAGACCUUAUAUUUGUUAACUCUUCGACUUGUUAUAUUUUCGCAUUUCCUCCCAUUUAUUUUACGUGAUUAUGUCGUUGACUAUUAUUUGACCCCUGCUUUAUUAUUUUGCAUAGACCAGCAGUAUCAGCUUGACACAUUUGAAUUUUCAUAAUUUCAAAAAAUAAUAAUAAUAAAUAAAUAAAAUAAAAUAAUUUAAAUGCUGAAGUUGUUAUCUUCAUUUCUUGAACUAGUUGUUUAUUGAUCUCGUCAAUCAUAGCAUUAGGUUAGUGUUACGUUGCAUGCAUUUGCGUAGUGGUUGUUUUGUCAUACCAAAUUCCAAUAAUGUGACCACGGACCCGUCUCAAUUUGAUGCCCUUACUCGACAAUUAGCUCAACUACAGGCUCAAUUAACAACCGUCCAAACCGAGGUGACUACUACUCGUGAGGAGAGUAGAGAACUAGCUGCUAGGGUGAACAAUCUAGAGCAAACCUCUCCAUCAACCGACAUUGAUAACUCUGAAGCGUCUCAUAACAUACCCUAUCGUUGUCGACAUGGUGGUCGACAGCGUGUUCGUCGUGAACGAAGGAAUGGGGAACAGGAGCGCAAUCAUGAACAAGACCAUGACCCUUAUGGAACUCAUUCACCUCCUCGCUAUGAGGAGCGUUACUUUCCAAACAUCAAAUUAGACGCUCCUACUUUCGAUGGCUGUUUAGAUCCUAGAGUUUUUACACAGUAGGUUAGAGACAUGGAUCUCUUCUUUUCGUGGUAUGGGGUACCAGAGGAUCGAAGAGUUCAAUUUUCCAGUUUGAAAUUAACUGGUACUGCCAAACUCUUUUGGGAAAAUGUUAAGGACCUUCUUGAAAGGCGUCAUGCACCUUCUGUUGGAGGUUGGGGGGAAAUGAAGCACCGCCUUCAAGAGAAGUAUUUGCCCCACUCUUAUAGGAGCAACUUGUUGGACCAAUGGAAUACCCUCAUACAAGGAAACCGUCCAGUGACUGACUAUGUCACUCAAUUUGAUGAGUUCCGGAUGCGAUACCACAUCGUUGAUGAUGAAGCUAUGACUUUAAGUGGGUUCAGACAAGGCCUACGAGAUGAUCUUCGACGUGAGCUUGUCCUUCGAGGUGUCACCACUCUCGAUCACGCUUACUCCUUAGUUCGAGAUUAUGAGUCGAUUACUAAGACUCCGUAUGGAAGGCGUAGUGAUAAUCGUCCAUCCAUCUCAUCGACACCACCUCCUCCCACCAAAUCUCUUCUUGGACCCCCAUCGUCUAACGCACUUCCUGCUUUAGACAAUAAAGGUAAAGCUCCGGAAACUUUAAGAACCUCUUCUCGUUUGCAAUGCUUCAAUUGUAAGGGCUUCGGUCACAUCUCCUCUAGAUGUCCGAGCCGAGCCUUAGUUAUUGACGAGCGAAAGGAUGUCGUUGAUGAGCCUUUAGAAGAUCAAGUCUAUGAGCCUCACUUUGAAGAGUUUGACGAUUUAGGUGAUAAUGAGGAUACCUUCUUAGGUUGCCUUCAUACCCUUCCUGUAGGUCUAGGUCCUACUUAUCUGGCCCCCGACACAUCUCAGUUGAGUGUGGUACGAUGUACCCUUACCCAACCUAAGGAUGUCGAUGAUUGGCGCCGUCAUGCUAUUUUUCAUACUUACAUCAAGAUCAACAAUAAGGGUUGUAAGAUUAUUGUUGACAGUGGGAGCUGUAUUAACGCGGUCUCUGUGACCACAAUAUCCCGCCUUGGAUUGAAGUCAGUCCCGCGCCCCCAACCAUAUAGCGUCUCUUGGAUUGACACUUCUAUAGCUGUGAAAGAGCGUUGUUUGGUGCCUAUCCAAUUCCUUGAGUAUAAAGAUCAUAUAUGGUGUGACGUCAUCCCUAUAGAUGUUGGACAUGUCAUUUUUGGUCGACCUUGGUUGUUCGAUCUAGAUGUAACUAUCCAUGGGCGAUCAAAUUCAUGUUCUUUUAUAUUUAAUGGAAAGAAGAUUCACCUUAAUCCUUUACCACCAAAAUCUGUUGACUUACACCAAGCCAAAAAAAUUGUCGAGAGGAAAGGAUUACAUGUGAUUAGCCCGACAGAAUUUGAACGGACAAUCGUAAAUGACUCAAUCGUAUUUGCUGUGAUUGUUAUGGAAGUCUCGUUCGAUCCCCCAAUAGCGACUCCUACUGAAGCUCAAUCACUCCUUCAAGAAUUUAAGGAUGUAUUUCCUGACGACCUCCCUGAUGUACUGCCUCCCUUACGGGAUAUUCAACAUGCUAUAGAUCUGGUUCCAGGUUCAUCUCUCCCAAACUUGCCUCACUAUAGAAUGAAUUCUGCUGAACAUGCCGAGCUCCAGAGACAAGUGGGUGAACUCUUUUACAAAGGCUUCAUUCGUGAAAGUUUAAGCCCUUGUGCAGUACCCGCCCUUCUAACACCUAAGAAGGAUGGUUCUUAGAGGAUGUGCGUUGAUAGUCACGCUAUCAAUAAAAUCACUGUCAAGUAUCGUUUUCUCAUCCCUCGACUUGAUGAUAUGCUAGAUAUGAUGACCGGUGCCACAAUCUUUUCCAAAAUCGAUUUGAAGAGUGGGUAUCAUCAGAUUCGGAUCCGCACAGGAAACGAGUGGAAAACUGCAUUUAAAACGAAAGAUGGCCUAUACGAGUGGUUGGUAAUGCCUUUUGGACUAACCAAUGCUCCAAGUACUUUUAUGAGGGUGAGACACAGGCCCUUCGGCCUUUCAUGGGCAAAUUCAUUGUCGUAUACUUUGAUGACAUCCUCGUGUACAACAAAACAAGGGAACAACAUCGAGAUCAUCUCACGCAAGUUUGCUCUACAUUGCCUGCAACAAGCUUGUAUGCUAAUGUGAAGAAAUGUUCUUUCUUCACGGAUACAAUUGUGUUUCUCGGAUUUGUUGUUUCCGCUAAGAGAGUAUCUGCUGAUCCUGCAAAGAUUCGAGCAAUUGUUGAGUGGCCAGAUCCCAAGAAUAUACAUGAUGUUAGGAGUUUUCAUGGUUUAGCUACCUUUUAUCGUCGUUUCAUCAAGGGAUUUAGUACGAUCAUGGCUCCUAUCACAGAGUGUAUGAAGAGAGGAGAAUUUCAUUGGACGCAGGAAACGGCUAAGGCCUUUCAAUUAAUCAAAAGGCGAACGAUAGCGGCUUCUGUCAUGCGACUCCCAGAUUUUUCCAAAGUUUUUGAGGUCGAAUGUGAUGUGUCAGGGGUAGGAAUAGGUGGAGUCUUGGGUUAAGAACUCCAUCCUAUUGCUUAUUUUAGUGAGAAAUUAAAUGAUGUCAAGCAACGAUACUCGACUUAUGAUAAGGAGUUUACGCAGUUGUACAAGCUUUGCGCUAUUGGCGUCAUUACUUAUUACCCAGCGAAUUUGUCCUCUUUUCUGACCAUGAGGCCCUUCGUUUCCUUAAUUCCCAGAGACAAUUGAAUUCUCGGCAUGGCCGCUGGAUCGAAUAUUUGCAAGCCUAUUCUUUUGUCUUAAAGUAUAAGAAGGGUGUUGAAAAUCGAGCUGCUAACGCUUUAAGCCGUCGCAUCUCCUUGUUGUCCGUCAUGAGUGUUAAGGUUCUAGGGUUUGAAAGACUUAAGGAAGAGUACGAGUCAUGUCCCGAUUUUAGGGACAUUUUUCUUGCUUUGCAAAAUGGGGAGUUGGACACCACUGAUGGUUUCCGUUUGGAGGAGGGCUAUCUCUUUAGAUCCAAUAAGUUGUGCAUCCCCAGGACUUCAGUGCGAGACUUUAUAGUGUGGGAAAGUCAUGUUGGUGGGUUGGCCGGACAUUUUGGGCGUGAUAAGACCAUAGAGGAAAUUGAACAUCAAUUCUAUUGGCCUAGUUUAAAUACCGACGUGGCCAAGAUUGUAGGCACAUGUAACACCUAUCAACGAUCUAAGCACAAAAGGCAGAACACAGGCCUCUACACUCCUCUCCCUGUCCCUAGUUGUCCUUGGCUAGACGUUAGUAUGGAUUUCGUGUUAGGGUUGCCACGUACUCCAAAAAAACACGACUCCAUUUUUGUUGUCGUAGAUUGCUUCUCAAAAAUGGCACACUUUAUUCCCUGUAGCAAGACUUCCGAUGCAUCUAAGGUUGCUAAGUUAUACUUCCAUGAGAUCGUCAAACUGUAUGGCCUCCCUAAGACCAUUGUCUCAGAUAGGGAUGUUCGUUUCACUAGCCAUUUUUGGCGAACCCUAUGGAAUAUGAUUGGCACUAAAUUGAAAUUCUCUACUGCAUAUCACCCACAAACGGACGGUCAAACUGAGGUUGUUAACCGCAGUCUCGGUAAUCUAUUAAGAUGUCUAGUCCAGAAAAAUCUUAGGAAUUGGGACUUAAUUCUUCCUUACUGCCCAACUUGCAUAUAACAGUUCAGUAAAUUGGUCUAUAGGUAUGAGUCUUUUGAAGUUGUUCAUGAUUUUAAGUCUAGGAAGCCGUUAGACCUUAUUCCUAUGUCUCCACAUGCUAGAGUGUCUGUGUCAGCUGAGUCUUUUGCACAACAUCUGCGUGACUUGUAUAUUGAGAUCAAUAAACAGCUAGAAGUGAGUAAUGCAUUAUAUAAACUUUGAGCUGAUUUGCACAAACACCAUGUUGAAUUUAAUGUUGGGGAUUAUGUUAUGAUUCGAAUUAGACCGGAAAGGCGUCCAUCUGGGCCUGCUUCCAAAUUGCAAGCUCGUAGUGGUGGUCCUUUUAAAAUUUUAAAGCGUGUUGGUCCAAAUGCUUAUGUUAUUGACUUACCAUCACACUUUGGCUACCACCCUACCUUUAAUGUUGAAGACUUAGUUGCUUACAAAGGUCAAUUUCACCCCGUUGAUGAUCCUUUCACACCUCCAUCUCUGGACCCUCAUCCUGAACAUGUUAUACCUGCCCCAAUUCCACCAACUGCAGCACAUAAAGAUAAAAUUGAUGUUAUUCUAGAUGCACGGACUAUAUUAACUAAGGAUGGAGACAUUCAGCGCUUCCUUGUUCGUUGGGAGGGCUGUCCUGAUUCUGAUUGUACUUGGAUCCCCAAAGAGACACUUCAACAGCUUGAUCCUGACUUGUUGGAGCAUUAUAGGAGUCAAAAAGAUCUUCCUCUACCCGAACCACCAUCCUUGCGUGUCUAUAGACGUCAAAAGAAGUUUGCUCAACCGAUCAGUUUGUGGCUAGGAGAUUGACAGCAGCCUUUUGUAAUCUACCUCCUCGACGGAGUCGAGUUUUUCUCCCACCCUAGGAGAGUUGAUACGGACAUCAUCCCCAUUUUAUCUUUUAUUUAUUUUGGGCUUAUGUCUUUUAGUUACUUAUUUUGGGCUUAUGUCUCAUUAGGCUUGUAUAUGGGUUUGACCAAAGCCCAAGUUAUUAUUUUGUUAUUUAUGUUAUUGUAAUCGGGAUUGAAAGGUAGAUGAUGAAUGAAUGAAUGAAUUGUUGCCUUCCACUCCUCUGUCUUCUCUCUUCCCCUUCUUUCUUCUCUCACUUUUUUUCCCUUCUCUUUCUCCUUUCUUCCUCUUGUUCUUGCUUUGAUUUUGAUAUUCACUUAUUUUCAUUGAUUCUACACCAAUUUAAAGCUGCCAUGUAUUCUGCAUCUGCUGUAGAUUGUGAUACAACUUCUUUCUUCGAGUUUCAACAAAAAAAUUCUUAGCCCAAGUGUAAAUUGAUAGUCAGAAGUGCUCUUCAUAUCAUACCAACAUAUUUUAAUCCAAUGGCUAGAUGGUGCUUUUGAUAUAUCUGGGGGGUUCUUUUAGCAGCUUCAAAAUGAGUUUGAGAAGGAAUUGUCAGAAAAAGAGAUUUU
rnacentral:lncRNA from 1 species